rnacentral:rRNA from 1 species
AGCGAACGCUGGCGGCAGGCCUAACACAUGCAAGUCGAACGAACUCUUCGGAGUUAGUGGCGGACGGGUGAGUAACACGUGGGAACGUGCCUUUUGGUUCGGAAUAACUCAGGGAAACUUGUGCUAAUACCGAAUGUGCCCUUCGGGGGAAAGAUUUAUCGCCAUUAGAGCGGCCUGCGUCUGAUUAGCUAGUUGGUGAGGUAACGGCUCACCAAGGCGACGAUCAGUAGCUGGUCUGAGAGGAUGACCAGCCACACUGGGACUGAGACACGGCCCAGACUCCUACGGGAGGCAGCAGUGGGGAAUCUUGCGCAAUGGGCGAAAGCCUGACGCAGCCAUGCCGCGUGAAUGAUGAAGGUCUUAGGAUUGUAAAAUUCUUUCACCGGGGACGAUAAUGACGGUACCCGGAGAAGAAGCCCCGGCUAACUUCGUG